rnacentral:lncRNA from 1 species
CCAAAUCUUCACGCAUGUCCAAAACUUUUCUCUCUUUCUCUCUUACAUAGAAUGUGGUUAUGGACCAAGUCAAAGUAAAAAUUAUUUUAGAUUUUAAAUUCUAUGAGAUAGAAUUUUAGGAAACCAAAACUCUUUCCUUAUGGUACUGAUUUUAUCCAAAUUUUUUUUGAAAUUUUUGUGACUUUUAUAACACAUAGUAUGCACCCUUUGCUGAUGGUCCAUGGUAGAAAAAGAAGGAGG